rnacentral:rRNA from 1 species
UGAAUACGAGACGCUAAGGCGUCGAAGUAGUGUAUGUCAUACUUCCAAAAAAAGCUUGCACUGUCAUAGAUAAAAAACGCCUGUACCAUAACCGACACAGGUGGGUAGGUAGAGUAUACUAAGGGGCGCGAGAUAACUCUCUCUAAGGAACUCGGCAAAAUAACUCCGUAACUUCGGGAGAAGGAGUGCCUUAUUCUUAAGGUUGCAAUAACAAGAUCCAAGCAACUGUUUAUCAAAAACACAGGUCUCCGCUAAGUCGUAAGACGAUGUAUGGGGGCUGACGCCUGCCCAGUGCCAGAAGGUUAAAGAAGCUGGUUAGCAUUUGCGAAGCUAGUAACUGAAGCCCUGGUGAACGGCGGCCGUAACAAUAACGGUCCUAAGGUAGCGAAAUUCCUUGUCGGGUAAGUUCCGACCCGCACGAAAGGCGUAACGAUUUGGAUACUGUCUCGGAGAGGGGCUCGGUGAAAUAGACUUGUCUGUGAAGAUGCGGACUACCUGCACCAGGACAGAAAGACCCUAUGAAGCUUUACUGUAACUUGAAAUUGAAAUUGGACUUUAUUCGCGCAGUAUAGGUGGGAGGCGUUGAUUAUAAUCUUGCGGGAUUAUUGGAGCCAUUAGUGAGAUACCACUCUUGUAAUGUUAGAUUUCUAACUUUGAAUCAUUAUCUGGUCAAAGAACAGUUUCAGGCGGGCAGUUUGACUGGGGCGGUCGCCUCCCAAACGGUAACGGAGGCGUACAAAGGUUUCCUCUGAACGGUUAGAAAUCGUAUCUAGAGUGUAAAGGCAUAAGGAAGCUUGACUGUGAGACCUACAAGUCGAGCAGGGACGAAAGUCGGUCUUAGUGAUCUGACGGUACUGAGUGGAAAGGCCGUCACUCAACGGAUAAAAGUUACUCUAGGAUAACAGGCUGAUCUCCCCCAAGAGUUCACAUCGACGGGGAGGUUUGGCACCUCGAUGUCGGCUCAUCGCAUCCUGGGGCGGUAGUACGUCCCAAGGGUUGGGCUGUUCGCCCAUGAAAGCGGUACGCGAGCUGGGUUCAGAACGUCGUGAGACAGUUCGGUCCAUAUCCGGUGUAGGCGUUAGAAUAUUGAGAGGAGCCUUCUUUAGUACGAGAGGACCGAGAAGGACAUACCUCUGGUGUACCAGUUAUCGUGCCAACGGUAGACGCUGGGUAGCUAUGUAUGGAGUGGAUAACCGCUGAAAGCAUCUAAGUGGGAAGCCCACCUCAAGAUAAGUAUUCUCAUG